GCGGGAUUAUUUUAGUGGUAUGAUGCGGCCUUCCCAAGGCUGAGACGCGGGUUCGAUCCCCGCACCCCGCA
rnacentral:tRNA from 1 species